GACGAACGCUGGCGGCGUGCUUAACACAUGCAAGUCGAGCGAGGCCCCUCCUCCGGGGGGGUGUCCUAGCGGCGAACGGGUGAGUAACACGUGGGCAACCUCCCCUCAGCUCUGGGAUAACUCCGGGAAACCGGGGCUAAUAUCGGAUACGACCUCCCCUGCCACAUGCGGAGGUGGAGAGUUUUUCGGCUGAGGAUGGGCCCGCGGCCUAUCAGCUAGUUGGUGGGGUAGUGGCCCACCAAGGCGACGACGGGUAGCCGGCCUGAGAGGGCGACCGGCCACACUGGGACUGAGACACGGCCCAGACUCCUACGGGAGGCAGCAGUGGGGAAUAUUGCGCAAUGGGCGGAAGCCUGACGCAGCAACGCCGCGUGCGGGACGAAGGCCUUCGGGUUGUAAACCGCUUUCGGCAGGGACGAAGCGAGAGUGACGGUACCUGCUGAAGAAGCACCGGCCAACUACGUG
rnacentral:rRNA from 1 species